CCCAGAUAGAUAGCCUAGUCCAUUUUGCACCAAUCCUGCACUAGGAAAUUAAUGUAUGGAGAGUCUUGGCAUUGCCUCCUUCCCAUAUAAUACUGGCCCAGAGCUUAAGGACUAAGAUUUGGGCCCCUGUAACUCGCCGUUACGGAAUGCUGCUUUGUUUCCAUACAGGGCAUUGGCAUUCGAGGCGUUAACACAGCCAGUGCUACUUUGACUCCAUUUUACUUCAAACAAUGUUAUCUUUGGAUAGUGGAUGUUAACCUUGUGUAAUGCGAUUUGUGUAAGAAAUAUUGUUUGUUUGCUAGUGUUUACUCUUCCUUCUGGUUUGAAUAGAAUGUUUUAAUGCCAUUAAGUCAGUAUGUUCAUGUGAUUAAGAAAGUAUGUUAAGAUUAUUAAGUUAGUAUAUAUAAUUAGUUCACUGUACUAAUGUAUUUAAGGCAGUCAAUGUGUUUAGU